UCUCCUCCGCUCCCGGGCGCGGGGCAGGGGCGGGCCCUCAGCGAGGGGCGGGGGAGGAGUGGAGCGGCCCGGCCAUCGGCAGAGCUCUCUAUUGGACGAGCCAUACUGAGGGAUCCCUCUGGGAACCAACCAAAGGCGUCAAUCUGGAGCCGAAGAGGCGGUAUCGCCAAGCGGACCAGUUUUGGAGGUCAAAGCUCCGCAGGGCGCGGUUAGUGGCGGAGUGAGCUCGGAGGGGAGGGUCUUCCACUUGUCGCCAGCGUGAACUCUGGUGCCUCGGGAGUGUCCGGAAUGAACCCCCAACUCCGGACCCUCAAAUCUGCCCCCACCCAGGCGCGCUCAUCUGUGGUUCGACUUUUUCAUGUAUCACCUUCUCUUCCUUUUCUCCCCCCGGGGUCCUUUUGGUCCCUCCCCGUCUCUUCGCGCUCAGAAAGCCGAAUUUCGCUGAUGCUCAGUCAGAGGAGAAAAUUUUAUGCGGAAUUCAGUCCUUCCUUCUGAAAGGCAACAGUCGUUGGACGGGAGGGACUAAAAAUCACUUGGUGUCCUGACAAGAUUUGUUACUGUUGCUAAGAUCGUCAACUCUAAUGCUUUAAGAGCGAUAACUUCCUGCAAACCCUGAAUUUUCGGAUUACUUCUAAACUGGAAGAGGGAAAAUACAGACGUCCAUUAACUUCAAUUCCUGGUGUCAGAAUUCAACCUUGAGACUUAUGGAUGGGAGCCAUGCUCCAGUUGUGGAGUGGGAAGAAACCAGUUUCCCUUUCCUAGCCUCAUGUCUCUUUGCUUGGUGUUUUAUUUUAUCUUAGUAGGCAAUAACGAGAAGGCUGCCUAGGGCUGACUUAAGGAUAAAUAUUAACAUUAGUAGAAAUAUUAAAAUGGUGAAACCAUGAUUUUGCAGACGGUGCUCCCUACUCUUAAUUAAAAGAGUUUAAACCCCAUUCACACUUAUGACUUCAAGGCUGAGCCAGUAGGAAGGUGGAUACUAACUCUAAUUUCCUAGGAAUGAGGAAUGAAAAACCGAGACAAGUAGGCACUGUAAAAUUGUUUUUGCUUUUUUAAUGCAGGUCAAAUAUCCUGAAACAUACAUGUAUUUUGAUAUCAGUCUGCUAAUCUCACUUGAGUUCAAAUAUUAAAGUAACACACACGAGCUAAGAGAAUUCAAUAUUGUUCAAAGGCACUUACUGAAUCUCCAUGACUAGAUGAAAACAAGGACAAUUAGGAGGACAAUUAGACAGUAUAUAAUAUAAAAAUAACUUUUUGCUUACAAUUUACAAAAUGUAUUAUUAUUACAAUCUUUGAUCUCUGAUAACCUGCAAAGCUGGCUGCAUGAAUCCAGCAACUUUAAAAUUCAGAAACUAUUUUCUAAAACUUCAGGGCAAAUAAUUUACAAAUAAGGUACACAAAGAUUUAGACCAUGCAGAAUUUCUUACAUCUUCUGUUAAUAAUAUUUUAUGACUGCAACUUUAUCAAAUUAUAUACCUACUUGCCCUGUACAUAUACAAAAUAAUGCAUACAUGAUAAAACAUUAGCAAAAGAGUAGUCCUUAAACUCAAUUUAUCAUAAAAGUAUUACUAUAUUAACAUGUCUACAAGCAGCGUGUAACAGGGUUAAGAGACAUUAAGGCAAUAAUACUUGAAGUUACAAAAUAAACCAUAUGUAAUACUUUUUCCUAAGUGUAGUAUAAGGCAGGUAGAUGGUCCCAGCAAAAAAAAUACUAAGGUAACAAUCUACACUGCUGUUAGUCCCACAUUUUUAAGAUGGAAUACUAUAAAUCUGGCUUUCAGUGGCACUUGAAUUUUCCAGUAUAAUUUAAAGUGUCUUUUAGCUCCCUGAAUCAUGUCCAUUCUGAAGGUGGUUCUCUUGGUCCUUUGGGUUUUCCACAGCGAUUACGAAAACCUGUAAUCAAAACACCAGAGUAACUGGUCAGUGUCUGGAAAUGUAUUUUCAUUUACUAAAAACUCUUAAUUUGCUUUGGGUAGUUCACUUAAGAACCUGAAUAAAUCAUGGCAAAAAGUUUGAUAAGCUUGGCCUUCAGGAAAGUGUGACAUGAUGGCAAAUAACCUUUUCUCAUCUUUGCCAGCAUUAACUAUAGAACUAAAGUUUUAAACUUAUUUAGUAAACAAAUUACCAAUAUCUGUGGCCUCUGUUGGACUUUCUGAAAUUUGACCUUUCUUGUUACUGAAAAUAGGUGGACAUUCUGUACAAGUCUCUGUGUGAAUACCUCCUGCUGGAUGAUCUAAAAUGCAAAAUAAAGCCAUUGUUAAUCACCA